ensembl:lncRNA
AUGGCUGCGCCAACAGGUUAUGGGCCCAGAAGAGAAGUAGGUAAUAGACUGAGUAGACUGUGUUUCGACGGAGAUGAAAAGAAUUACGAACUUUGGGAGACAAAGUUUUUGGGGCACCUGCGUCUGCUGGGACUGAAAGAGACCAUAUUGAAAGUCCCCACACCGAGCGAUAGAGACAGCGCGGACGAAGAUGAGACUGACGACACUGAUAAAAAUGAAGAAGCCUACGCGGAAUUGAUCCAGUUUUUGGAUGAUAAAAGUCUUUCCCUUAUAAUGAGAGAAGCCGCAGAUGACGGAAGAAAGGCGCUGCAAAUACUGAGGGGCUACUAUGCAGGAAAAGGGAAGCCGCGAAUUAUUAACCUGUACACAGAAUUAACAUCCCUUCAGAAAACUGCAAAGGAAAGUAUUACGGAUUACAUUAUUCGGGCAGAAACAGCCAUUACCGCUCUGAGGAAUGCUGAGGAGACGCUCAGUGACGGACUGUUGAUUGCAAUGAUUCUUAAAGGUUUGCCAGAAUCGUUUAAACCAUUCGCAGUUCAUGUAACACAGAGUGAUGAAACUAUGACUUUUGCAGAAUUUAAGACAAAGCUCAGAAGUUUUGAAAACACUGAAAAGUAUGCUAGGUCAAAUGACGACAACGUUAUGAAAGCGAGUGGUGCAGCUCCUGUGAGAAGAGGAGAGAGAGAGAAAAACGCAGACCCUUAUAAUAUCACAUGUUAUAAUUGCGGUCAAAAAGGACAUAAAGCCUGGAGAUGUCCAAAUGAACGUCGUAAAAGUCAAAAACAGUGGUGUAGCUAUUGCAAAAGCUCAACACACAAAGACGCAUCUUGCAGACGCAAAAGAAGAGACGACGCAAAACAAGCGACGCAUGAAGAGGACGCAGAUAAACAUGCUGCAUUUGUCUUCAAAACGUGUGAUUAUCAGCUAGACGGGCUGAAACAUAAAGGACUAAUGGUUGACACGGGAGCAACAUCACACAUAAUUACCGACAUCGGAAAGUUUAAGAAAUUUGACGAGACUUUCCAAACGGGCAAACAUUUCAUUGAGCUUGCGGACGGGACAAGAGCGAGUGGCGUUGCGCUGAAGAGAGGUGACGCGCGGAGAUAUGUUUGA